rnacentral:rRNA from 1 species
CCUACGGGUGGCAGCAGUGAGGAAUAUUGGUCAAUGGGAGGAAUCCUGAACCAGCCAUGCCGCGUGCAGGACGACGGCUCUACGAGUUGUAAACUGCUUUUGUACCGGGGUAAAAUGCUCUACGAGUAGGGUUUUGAAAGUACGGUACGAAUAAGGAUCGGCUAACUCCGUGCCAGCAGCCGCGGUAAUACGGAGGAUCCGAGCGUUAUCCGGAUUUAUUGGGUUUAAAGGGUGCGUAGGUUGUUUUAUAAGUUAGCGGUGAAAUACCGAUGCUCAACAUCGGGGCUGCCGCUGAUACUGUAGCACUAGAGAUCGGAUUCAGCAGGCGGAAUGUGUAGUGUCGCGGCGAACUGCAUAGAUAUUACCCAGAACACCGAUUGCGAAGGCAGCUUGCUAGGCCGGAUCUGACACUGAUGCACGAAAGCGUGGGGAUCGAACAGGAUUAGAUACCCGAGUAGUC